AAUUUUAUUUAAGGAUUAAGUAAUAAAAGUUUCAUCAUCUUGCUUUUCCUCUGGGUUGUUCAAGCGAUGUCCAUGGAGCUGUCUCUUGAGUGUUGGUAUUAUGACGACUCUUGCCCAUACCACAACUCCAAGACCGAAGCACAUAAUCAGAGCUCUUAUCAGGAUAUAAUAAUUUUAUAUUCAAUUAGUAUAUUUUAAUCAAAUAAAAUCGCUAAUGUUGCCUCUUUAAUUACUCUCAUCCAACUUUACCUGAAGAGAGACAAUGCUACCGACCAGAUAUGCAUGAAGAGUCGAAGCCUAGAAAAUAUAUAAUUAUUAGUAUUAAAUUUAAAAUUAAAUAAAUAAAAAAAUUAUUUCAUUAGUACAAUUUACUUACAGAAUGAAGAAGGAUGACUAACAGAGGUCUGCCAAGGUGAUCCCCAUAGCUCCAAGUAAAACAAUUGUGUUGUCUGUGUUAUCAUUGGGUUGCUUAACUCGUUUAGAAGACCCAAAUAGUAUUGGGUUUUUAAUAAAAGUCAUCUCCAUGGCACCUGAAAUAGCUCAUACCGUACCCA
rnacentral:lncRNA from 1 species